ACGCUCGACACCUACGGGAGGAGCAGUGGGGAAUAUUGCACAAUGGGGGAAACCCUGAUGCAGCGACGCCGCGUGAGCGAAGAAGUAUUUCGGUAUGUAAAGCUCUAUCAGCAGGGAAGAAACUGACGGUACCUGACUAAGAAGCACCGGCUAAAUACGUGCCAGCAGCCGAGGUAAUCUGAGCGGGCUGGCAAGGC
rnacentral:rRNA from 1 species